UGUGUCCCCCUCUUCCCGGCAGUCGCUCUGUUUGCUGCCUGGGAGUUGCAGGACACUCCUCAGUCGAGGCUUGCAGGGCCGUUUUCAGUAGGGGAUUUCUAAUUUUAGGAGCCUCUGCUGCCUAUGGUUGAGCGCUGCCUUGCUGGAUCCCAGAAGAGAGGGGCUGAGCCGAGCCGAGCCAGGCAGCUCCUUUUUAUUUUCAGCUGAGCUAGUGUCAACCUGAGUGGCCCCAGAGGCCCGAGCCAAACACUGCGCAGGGCUGCCAGAGUCCUUCCCACAAGGCUGAAAGACGGAGACUCGGGUUUGAAGCUUCCAGUCCUGUGUCCAUUUGGCCUUUAGCUGGAGGAUCUUUGGCUAUGUAUGGUGUGUAUUGUAUGGAUUACCAAUACCCAGUCGUCCAGGGUAACCAGGAGCCAGCAGCAACUCCUGAUGCAAUGGUGCAGCCAUUCACCACAAUCCCAUUUCCGCCACCCCCACAGAAUGGAAUUCCCACAGAGUAUGGGGUGCCACACACUCAGGACUAUGCAGGCCAGACCAGCGAGCACAAUCUGACGCUCUACGGAAGCACGCAGCCACAUGGAGAGCAGAGCACGAACACGGCCAGCACGCAGAACGGAUCUCUUGCACAGACAGAAGGAGGGGCACAGACAGAUGGACAGCAAUCACAGACACAGAGCAGUGAGAAUACCGAGAGCAAAUCCACUCCAAAACGACUUCAUGUGUCUAACAUUCCCUUCCGCUUUCGAGAUCCUGACCUUCGGCAGAUGUUUGGGCAAUUUGGCAAAAUCCUUGAUGUAGAGAUAAUCUUUAAUGAGCGUGGCUCCAAGGGAUUCGGGUUCGUAACUUUCGAGAAUAGUGCUGAUGCAGACAGGGCCAGGGAGAAAUUACACGGCACCGUGGUAGAGGGCCGUAAAAUCGAGGUUAACAACGCCACAGCGCGAGUGAUGACCAAUAAGAAGAUGGUCACACCUUACGCAAAUGGUUGGAAGUUGAGUCCUGUGGUUGGAGCGGUGUACGGCCCUGAGUUAUAUGCAGCGUCCAGCUUUCAAGCAGAUGUCUCGCUGGGCAAUGACGCCGCAGUGCCCCUGUCAGGAAGGGGGGGUAUUAACACUUACAUUCCUUUAAUCAUUCCAGGCUUCCCCUAUCCAACUGCAGCCACCACAGCAGCCGCAUUUCGGGGAGCCCAUCUGAGGGGCCGAGGAAGGACAGUGUAUGGGGCAGUCCGGGCGGUACCUCCCACAGCCAUCCCUGCCUACCCAGGUGUGGUUUACCAGGACGGAUUUUACGGUGCUGACCUCUAUAAUAGUCUUACAGGAACCAAUCAUUAGCGCUAAAAUACCUCAGGGUGGAUACGCAGCCUACAGAUAUGCACAGCCUGCUACUGCAACAGCAGCCACGGCCGCUGCAGCCGCUGCAGCAGCUUACAGCGAUGGUUAUGGCAGGGUGUACACAGCAGAUCCUUACCAUGCCCUUGCCCCUGCCGCUAGCUACGGAGUUGGCGCUGUGGCGAGUUUAUACCGAGGUGGCUACAGCCGAUUUGCCCCCUACUGAAGUGACGUGAGCCCCCUGCAAGUGGGACAGCCCCCCCAGUUCAUGAGGCCUGGCUAUUGCAAUAUUUACUAGUAGAGGAACUCUAUAGCAAGACGAGGAGGAAAAACAAAAAACAAAAGAGAAAAUACUUUUUUAUACCUCACUAUGUUCUUUGAAUAUGUAUUUUUUUUUUCCUUUAAAUUUCUGCCUUUAAUUCUUUUGUUCCAAAGAUUGUGCAUUUUUUUGUUUUUGUUUUUGGGGUUUUUUUUAACUGUGGUAAAAAUAAUGCAUUUCCGUGUCUGUAUGUUGGUGCAUAGCUUAUCCUACCAAUCACGGAAAAGGCGAUUAGCGAUAAGGAAAGCUGUUAGAAACCGAUAUCAUGCAGUUAAUCAGGAACACGCAGAGUUACUUCCCUGGUCUGGUGCUUGGUGCCUGUGAGACAGGAGGACGUGAGGGAGAAGUCUCCACCUGCCGUGUUUCUGGUCUGCAGAAGGAAGCACUCUUGCUGUGGCUGGGACCUUGAUGCUGGUGGGAAGUAGUCAUUUACAUUCGAAAAUGGGGGAAAUGCAGAGACUUUCCUCGUUUUUGUCACCAUCUGAUGCACACAGGUUUGGAACAGUUUCAGCAGUGUCAGGAUUUUAGAUUUGGCAAGAGAAGAUUUCCUCAACCUGCCCAAAGACUUUGGCUGUUAUCUGCUGUAUAGGGGACAAGACUUUGAAAAGAGUUUUUGAUGAGGAUGAUCUUUCCCCACCCCACACAACUUAUCCUAGCUGAUUGUUGUCCAUUGCUGGUGGCUGUAAUUACCUUAGUUUUCCUUCCUCCUUUUCAAGAUCUUUCUCCCUUGCUGUCCCUUUCCUCCCCUUCUUUCCUCGAGGAGUGGCAGAUGCAGUGCAGCAUCACACAGAGUACCUCUGUUGCGGACAGCAAGCGGUUAAACUUGCGGAGGUGAAGCGCAUGCAGCCUUGCAGAGGAAGAAAGCUAGCAGAAGAACCGUGCAUCAGUGCCAUGCUCAGGUGCUCCAAGGUCCAGCGUGCAAGGUCUCUCCUGCUCAUCCUGAGCUGCUGAGGCGCUUCUGCAAGUAAUCUGUUUCAAAUAACAUGAGUGAGGAAAAACAAGUCAUGUAUAAGCUGCUUGAGGCGAGGGGCAAGGAUGUGGAUUUGUGUGGGGGAAGAGGGUCUUCUAUAUCUAAACGUGAUCCUGAAGUAGUUUUGUUUCGGUCAGGAGCUUUAAGGGGAGGCAGAAGCAGUUUGUGCAAGCUCUGAAUUCAUAGGAACUUCCCACCAUAAGCUAUUUCAGGCCUUUACAUAGUUGUGUUGGAGCCCCUGGGUCUUUCUUGCCCAGCCUCUCAUAGAAAGUUGUGCACCUGAUCUGCUGAGUCCAUAUAGACACUACAUAUUAGAAGAUUUGGAAGCAGAGAGACUAUUUAGGGGAGGGCUCCAUGACUCCCAACACCAUCUCCCUUCUGCUCUCACAUACAGUGAUUUCACUGUGUUUCAAAGUCAGCAUUUUUAGAUGACUGCGUGAGCUGUGGUGGGGAGUUGCUGCUCUCCAGACCUCCCUGCUCAGCUGCUGGCUCCUAGAGUGCUCCCAGUAACCCCAGUGAUCAGAGGCAGGGUCUCUAACCACAUGUUAGAGAAAUGCAGAAGCGUGGUUUUAUUAGGCUGCCUCAACUCCCUCGAUUUGGUACUGGGGUGAGCUCACCGCCCCCAGAAGGGCUGCUUGGAGUGUGGGUUUGUUGGUGGAGCCUUUCCCACUCCUGUCGUACACCUGCUUCUCCAUCCACCACUGAUACCAGAAUAGGAAACCUCCUGCAUUUAAACACUAAACGAUGUCAACAAGCAGAGCUCCCAGGGAGGUGUCCUGGCCCAGCCACGCACAACCACGCAUUUUUUUCGCUCUUCCCCAGCGAUACACGUAGCCUCUUUGUGCGCAGCAGAGAGGAGGCACCUCAAAUGGGAAGAAUGGGGAAGCCAUUAGUUAAGCUAGAGACCGUGAAGCUAUUGAUUCUCUGGAGGAAUAGCUAGAUAAAGGGGACACCAAACUGCCAGCCUGUUGGCCACCUUUUUUUUUUUUCCUGGUUUUAUUGUUGGUUUUUAACUUUUUUUUUCCCAAGCCAAAGUUUGGUUUGUUGCUGUUAUGACAAUUUUUGUUGUUUGUAUAUAACUAUUUUAGUUAGCUUGAGAAUGGGGAGGGGGGAACAGGGUGGGGCUUUCACAAAAUCUAGGAAAUGAGGGGGACUUGAGGUGUUUGGGGGCUUUUACUGUCUGAGUUGGGGUAGGGGAGGGAGAACUUGUGGUAGAAAUAGUCAUAUUCAAGGGGAGCCAUUUCCACUGCAGGGCAUCCAGGGGACUUCCCGAGCUGAGAUGCAGCAAAAGCCUCUACUGGACUUGUUCUACCCACCUGUGGGGCGGAGAGGCUGAGUGAGGCCGUCCCUUCCCUUGCCUGCAGGCUGCGAGCGAGAGGAGCGCAGCUUGCAGAGCCCGGCAGGGGCAGUUGCUCGUCCCUCUGCCCCUUUCCUACGUUUCAGUUCAGCUGGUUCUGACUGCAGCUCCUGAAAAGCUGGGUUCUCCCUCCCCGAGUGCCCUCCCCUGCCCUGGCAGUGCUGCCUGCAAUCCCCCCCUGCCACUUGGCCUCUCUGGGAGUAGGGAGGCCAGCCCCAUUUCUGCCUCCGAGCAGAGUCUAUGCAUGGCAGCUUCAGCCCGCCCAAGUAUAUUAGGAGUGUGAGGGGCUUAGUGCAGAAGCGCCCAACCUUUGCAGGUCCAUGGUCCCCUGCUGUAUGAUCUCCGAGUAAUACCUGCUCUAGACCAUCCAGCCUGAUUCCUCCUGUAUCCAAGCCUGACCUGCUCCGGUCGCUCCCUGCCAGGCUCCUCUGGUGCAUUAACCAGCCGGCGUCUCCUCGACUCCGUAGUUGACACUGCAGGAUCCCUGCUGAGGCAGCUCACUGAUAGAGAGGCUUCCUGCUCUCAGCAGUGAGCUGCAGAGGGGACGCCGGGACGCUUGCUCAGCUGGGGGCCGGAGGUAGCUCGCUGGUUCCAGGUCUCUGGAGCACCAGGCCUCCCAAAAGCUUGCACGCCGGCUGGAAUUUUGCAGCAAGGUUUCUUGAGUGAGUGUUGUGCCGUGGCGGGAGAGCUCUUCAGCCUUUCUUCCCUCUUGGCAAACAACAGCUCUGGUUUCACUCAGAUGUGUUAUGAACUGGCUUGAGAUGCAUUCAGAGUAGCCAAGUUGUGGCUAUAUCCAUCUUCUGAAGAAGUGAGGACAAAGCCUAUAUCUCCCUAUGCAAAAUGAAUUACACUUAAUGAAUUAAACUGGGCCCUGGCUUAUUUGACUGAUGGCAGCCAGUGCUUGUCCCCGAGAUGGGUCUGCAGUCACAGGUCCUUCACAAAGCAGGGCUUGGCUUUCCGAGGGAAACCGCACAGGCAGCCUGGCAAAUAGCUUGCUGUUUGUCACCUUCCAGUCUGGUGGCAUGCGGGAUUCCUCUUGAUGCAGAGGAAAAGAUGUUUCUUUAAGUGUUGCUGUUUGUACUGUCUUGCAAUAGGUCUGGCCAGCACGUGAUAUUAUACUGAUAAAAUUUUGGAUUGAAGAGUUGAUUUAUUUAAUGUGCUGGUCUGUCUUUCCUUGUGGGUACAGUUGUGCUGGUACAAAGAUGACUUCUGCUGGUAUAGUAUAUUCUCUACUGGGAAUAAGUUAUAUUGAUGCCCAGCAUGUUGACAAACUGUUGUCACUGUCGCCGUGCUAGGGAAGCUGCACUGUUGUAGGUGGGUUAGCUUUUCUAAGAAAAGCCAUGAAUGGGACCUGGAGACAACUGGGAGCUCGGUAUGAGCCUGCUAUAGCCAGCUUUUCCCAGAUUAAGCGAUCCUGUGUCAUGAGUUCGGAUAGACAAAGCCAUGUUUUAAAAUAGCUGUGGCUUGGCUGUUUCAGUGCCCGAGAGAGAGCAGACUUGCCCAGCGAGAAAGAGCGCUAGCUCAGGAGUCGGAGACCUGUCUUUUGGGCAGGGCUCUGUCAGUGAUCCUCAAGGGUCAUCGUGGAGCAGUCGUGUCGCUACUCUAGACUUCACUUCCCCGUCCCUAAAGUGAAGUGAAAGUUUAUCCCCUGUUCUCGCCCAUUUUGAGAUCUGUGGAUGUGAAGUGCACAGCAAGAGCUGAGGAGGGUUAUCUGAAUAGCUGGCUCAAAUGCUAGUUGUGAAACGGUUAACGAAACCAGUUCCUUGCCCGAAAAGAGAUGCUGGCUGCUGGGGUUUCAGUUCCAGCACCCAGAGCUUCCGUAGCAGGGAAUGCAAAGCAGAGCCUCCUAGUUCCUACCCAUGUUUUUCCCCAACCCAGCCCUAUCUGUAUCUUCCCAUCCUGGCCCUGAAGAAGGAGGCAAGUGGAGAACAGGUUUGGGGAGCACUUAGGAAUUCAAUAAAGGGAAACCCAAACAACGGCUCUGGGGAGCGCUUUUGCUGAGUCUAGCUCCAAAGGGAAAGCACGUGGGCAGCCUGGCAGACGGCCUGCUGCCUGUGACCCUCCAGCCUGGCAGGGUCGGGGGAAUGCUGUCCUUGGUGCAGAGGGGUGAUUUUUAAAGUACGUUACCUGUUUGCACUGUUUUAAAAUAGGAGGGGGGAAAACAAAAACCCCAACCUAGUGAACAAGAUGAACAUCCAAUGUAAACUUCUUUGUGUUUUUAUUUUGUCAUGCUCUUGGAAAAUGUCAAACAUUUUGUAGUAUACACCAGUGAGACUUGAUUCUUUGUUGCAUAAAACACUAUUUUUGGUGAUGUUAAUGUCUGAAAAGCCCCUUCCCUCCACCCCCACCUUACCGAUUGCCCUCUCUGCCCUCCAACCCCGGUAAACUUCUCUUCUACAAUGGAAACUCCAGUCAACAAGGCAAGCAGGAGCCUGAUAGCCAGAGCGUGAAAUGGGGCCCUUUUCAAGUAGGCUCUGGGGUUUUUCCCUGGUACGCUUUUGCUCUAGCCAGGAGUUG